rnacentral:rRNA from 1 species
UCGCGAAAACUUCACAAUGGGGGCAACCCCGAUGAGGGAAUUCCUAGUGCUAGCACAUUUGUGUUAGCUUUUCUUUAGCUUAGAAAACUAGGGGAAUAAGGGCUGGGUAAGACGGGUGCCAGCCGCCGCGGUAAUACCUGCAGCCCAAGUGGUGGUCGAUUUUAUUGAGUCUAAAACGUUCGUAGCCGGUUCGGUAAAUCUUUGGGUAAAUCGGGGGGCUUAACCUUCCGACUUCCGAGGAGACUGCCGAACUUGGGACCGGGAGAGGCUAGAGGUACUUCUGGGGUAGGGGUAAAAUCCUGUAAUCCUAGAAGGACCACCGGUGGCGAAGGCGUCUAGCUAGAACGGAUCCGACGGUGAGGGACGAAGCCCUGGGUCGCAAACGGGAUUAGAUACCCUGGUAGUCCAGGGUGUAAACGCUGCAGACUUGGUGUUGGAGGCCCUUUGGGGGCAUUCAGUGCCGGAGAGAAGUUGUUAAGUCUGCUACUUGGGGAGUACGUCCGCAAGGAUGAAACUUAAAGGAAUUGGCGGGGGAGCACCGCAACGGGAGGAGCGUGCGGUUUAAUUGGAUUCAACACCGUAAAACUCACCAGGGAAGACUGUUACAUGAAGGCCGGGCUAAAGACUCUGCCAGAUUUUCA